GUAGGGAAUAUUGGACAAUGGGGGCAACCCUGAUCCAGCGACGCCGCGUGAGUGAUGAAGGCCUUCGGGUCGUAAAGCUCUGUUGCAGGGGAAGAACACAAUGACGGUACCCUGCUAGAAAGGAUCGGCUAACUUCGUGCCAGCAGCCGCGGUAAGACGCGGGAUCCUAGCGUUGUUCGGAAUUAUUGGGCGUAAAGCGGGUGCAGGUGGCUUGGUAAGUCAGAUGUGAAAGCCUGGGGCUUAACCCCAGAAGUGCAUUUGAUACUGCGGAGCUUGAGUGCUGGAGAGGCUAUUAGAAUUCCUGGUGUAGUGGUGAAAUACGUAGAUAUCAGGAGGAAUACCGGAGGCGAAGGCGGAUAGCUGGCCAGACACUGACACUCAGACCCGAAAGCGUGGGGAUCAAACAGGAUUAGAAACCCGGGUAGUCC
rnacentral:rRNA from 1 species